UCAAACUGGAGAUGGCGACCGGCGCACGGGUGAGUAACACGUAUCCAACCUGCCGAUAACUCGGGGAUAGCCUUUCGAAAGAAAGAUUAAUACCCGAUGGCAUAAUAGAACCGCAUGGUUUGAUUAUUAAAGAAUUUCGGUUAUCGAUGGGGAUGCGUUCCAUUAGGCAGUUGGUGGGGUAAUGGCCCACCAAACCUUCGAUGGAUAGGGGUUCUGAGAGGAAGGUCCCCCACAUUGGAACUGAGACACGGUCCAAACUCCUACGGGAGGCAGCAUG
rnacentral:rRNA from 1 species